rnacentral:lncRNA from 1 species
UGGCCUCAGCACGUCUGGUCACAACAGUCCCCCUACUGCACAGGAAGGCAGAGGGGCUAAUAAGGGAUUAUGACUCACCAUGGCCACUUCAUGAGUCAGCCACUAUUGAGACAACACCCAGGUCCCCUGCGCCGGAUGGAGACUUGUCCUUUGCCACAUGUCACCUCCCCAUUCUUUUGACUGAUGACUGGAGGGACUUUUCUACACUUUCCUUCAGGUCAGUUUUUGAAGGAAGAGGUGAGGAGGUCCGGAAGUAGCAGCUCCUCCCCCACCCUCUCCCCCACCUCACCCCUCCUCCUUCUCCAGGACCGUCCCUUGGGGUACAGCCAGGAAAGGCAAAAACGGUGCUCUGAUGUCAAAGGAGGAAAUCAUGUUGCCAAAGGGGAAACUGAAGCCCAGAAGCUUGAAAUAAGUUUUCCAAGGCUCCGUGUUUCUGAGGGACUCCUCAUCUGCCAAACUACCCGAACGUCUCUGAUGCUUUACAGGAAAUACAGAAAUCAGACUGACGAAGAAGCACUUUCAUCAAUUGAGGGUCAUCUGAGGAACUGACCUUGACAGAGAAAUCUGCACCCAGCCUUCUGAUCUCGCCAAGCCCUGGAGGUUUUUAAUUGCCCCUGUAAAAAAAAAAAAAAAAAAGGAAAAAAAUCAUUGCUCUUUCUAGAAACCUUGAGUUUGGGACUUUGAGCUGAGUGAUUACAUCACGACAAAACCCCAUUUUGACUUGAUCCCAUCAGGAGGCAUUUACUGGCACAUUCAGAACCUGGUGGCAGAAGCCAGCACUCACCCAGAGAGACAGAAAGCAGGUUUCCAGGAGCUGAAAGGGAGAUGAAGGGAAAUGGCUAGUGGGGACAGGGUUUCUUUUUGGAGGGAUGGAACAUUCUGGAAUUAGUGGUAAGGGCUGCACAACACAAUGAAUAUACUAAAACCCACUGAUCUAUACACUUUGAAUGGGUAGAUUUUGCAUUACAUACAUUGUGCCUCAAUAAGAAAUAAAUAAGAUUAAACAAAAUAAUAAUAAAGGAGU